rnacentral:piRNA from 1 species
CUUCUAGCCUGUGCUACUUAC